UACGUAGGUGGCAAGCGUUGUCCGGAAUUAUUGGGCGUAAAGCGCGCGCAGGCGGUCCUUUAAGUCUGAUGUGAAAGCCCACGGCUCAACCGUGGAGGGUCAUUGGAAACUGGGGGACUUGAGUGCAGAAGAGGAAAGCGAAAUUCCACGUGUAGCGGUGAAAUGCGUAGAGAUGUGGAGGAACACCAGUGGCGAAGGCGGCUUUCUGGUCUGUAACUGACGCUGAGGCGCGAAAGCGUGGGGAGCAAACAGG
rnacentral:rRNA from 1 species